GGUGCAAUUAGCUAGUUGGUGAGGUAACGGCUCACCAAGGCCACGAUGCAUAGCCGACCUGAGAGGGUGAUCGGCCACACUGGGACUGAGACACGGCCCAGACUCCUACGGGAGGCAGCAGUAGGGAAUCUUCCGCAAUGGACGAAAGUCUGACGGAGCAACGCCGCGUGAGUGAUGAAGGCUUUCGGGUCGUAAAACUCUGUUGUUAGGGAAGAACAAGUAUGAGAGUAACUGCUCGUACCUUGACGGUACCUAACCAGAAAGCCACGGCUAACUACGUGCCAGCAGCCGCGGUAAUACGUAGGUGGCAAGCGUUAUCCGGAAUUAUUGGGCGUAAAGCGCGCGCAGGCGGUUUCUUAAGUCUGAUGUG
rnacentral:rRNA from 1 species